GGUCUUACCAGGAAUAAACUGGCUUCAAGCUGGUUUUAGGUGUUCGAUUCACUUAAAGACUA
rnacentral:tRNA from 1 species